ACUGGAGGAAAUCACAACCUCCCUUUUAGUAUUUUAAAUAUUAAUUUUAAUAAAAAGUUCUGACUUAACUCAGUAUGAGAGUCUCUAAUUCCAUCCAUGUUGCUGCAAAUGGCAUUAUUUUGUUCUUUUUUAUGGCUGAGUAGAAGAUUGAUAGAACACUGUAAACCAGCUCUAAUGGAAAAAAUAAAAAUCAUUACAUAAAAUAAAAUAAAAUAAAAAGUCCUAGGAAGCUUGAAAUGUCUGAAGUAGGCAACUACUUGCUACUUGCUGCAGUUAGUAUUCCUGAUGCUAAUUUUGCUUUCUUGAAAGGUGCGAAACCUUUAGAAGUACCAGUAGUUGUUCAGUUCACAGAUACCAUAAAUCUCUCUUGCAGUGUGACUUAGUACUCUGGAAAGAAAGCAUAUAUUCUCCAAGUCCAUACUCUCCUGAUGAAAUUUAUAUCUGGGUGAGAACACAGAUAGCAAGCUUCUCGAUUUCUCUUUUACUGUGAUAAAAGCAGAGAAAAUGUUAACAAGCAAAGCAUGAGCCAGACUGCCUAAUGUUAAAGGUACAGAUCCGUGUGGGAGGGAUGAGCCCUGUUGCAUCAACGUCCCAGCUUCCUGCUCGGACGGUGCUUCAGGCUGCAAACGCACACAUGCUUAUAAAUUCCAUAGUCUGUUUGUGAUAUUGGCGUGUGCUUGAAGGAGUGUGACCUUGGUGGACAUGGCUCACAUUAGCCGAAUUCACAAGAGACUAACCUACUGACCAAAUGACAAAUCAUAAUAUGUAAAGAGAAAUGGAAAAUGACAAAUCACUAACGUAUAAAGAAGAAUGUAACUCUCGAGGCGAGUAUGCAGGUGCAGCCAUUAAAAAAAGAAAGAAAAAAAGUGAUACUAUCAUAUCCUGUACCAUUUUGGAUAAGCUAACAUAUGCUUUCUUAACAACUCUUAAAUCUCAGUGGCACAUCAAAGAAGCUUGUUCUUCACUCAUGUUCAGGUUCUUCACAAUUCCCCUGUGUUAUUUUGUGUUGUUAUUGUUGUUUUGUUUGUUUUCUUAUUUAGGACUCACCUGCUCUCUGAAUCUUGCUGGGAACUUCGAAGAGGAAAAGGAGAGGAUGCAUGUGCAGGCUUUAGAAACUUCCACCCAGAAGGAACAGGUUAAUUCUGCUCACAUAGCAUCAGGCAAAGACAGGAGGUCAAGGCCAGUCUUAAGGGUACAGGGCAGGGUGUUGCUGCUAUGAGGAAACUCAUCACUGCAACUCACAACCUAAUACUAACCCUUACUCUAAACUUAAGAGCUAGUCAAGAGAACCACACUGACUACCACUUGCCAGUGUAACUUAGGUAAGAUGUUACCGUGAUUAUUGCAUUUAUUUUGAGUUCUGUGUUGGAGUAAAAGGCAGCUUUGUGGUCACUUUGGAACACUUCCCAUAAGUAAAGUUUUAUUUGUCUUUUAGGGUUGUUCCCUCAAGAGGAAAGUGGAAUGGACACGAGUCCAGCCUUGUUAGAAAGAGGACAUGGCUUCUGGGAGACUUUAUUGUUUUAUUGAGUUAUAUCUAGUUUUCUCGUUCUCCUUAAAUAUUAAGUAUAUUUAUACUCUCACGGGCCCUGAGAAAUAAGGUGGGUGAUUUAACCAGAGAAAUGUCUUUGAAAUGACUGAACACCUGCGCUCCACAGAAAUCUGGGCAAGUCAGCAAAUGUGGGGUCCAAAUGUCUGAUGUUGGAAACGGCAUACUUUGCUCUUUGGUAAUUCGUCACCAAUACCACUGAGAACUGACUGCUGGAAAGAGAGAGCUUUUGGUGGACUUGUCCACGUCCAUCCUUUCCUUAGGCCUAAACACACAUUUGGGUGAAAAAACACUGAAUCACACAUUUUGAUAUAUACCAUAAUUAUAUAAUACACAAAGAUACUCUUUUGCAGGAAGCCAAGGAGAUGCAGGGACUCAAAAAAGGACCUUGCCUGAUGGCAGAAAAACCUGAAGGCAGGUUCCUAACCAAGGAAGGGAGCUCACCUGAACGGUCCAAGCCGAAGGUGGGCCUCUGGACAGGAUAAAAGCCUGCCUGCACGGUACCAGCCGAGAGCAGGCCUCAGGUUACAAGGCUCUCACUUUGAUGUUAAUGGGGAAGAAUUGGGGCUUUCCUGGGAAAGCAAUUUCCAUGUUUGUGCCAGAGAACAUGGAUUGUUUCUUGGAUGACCUAGUCUUCCCUGUUGUUUUAUUUAUUAUUCAGUUUUCCUCAGUCUUUCCUGAUUACUUGCUUAUUAUUCUUAUUUCCCAUUCUUAUUCUCCUGUGGUGAUUUGUGAUUUAACAAAAUUACAGCAAUAAUACAAUAAGAAUUUUAUCCUAAAGGACUUUCCCCUAUUCAAAUCCAACUUAGUUAAAACAUAGUGUUUUUCUACUAACUAGUUAUACAGUAAACUUUAGAGUUAGGAUUUUAAUGAGGUUCAUAGAAGUUAGACAUAUAUUAUUCUUGACCAAAAGACACCUAGCUAUGAGUUAUAGAAGCUUUUAAGUGAUAGCUAGUUAAGUUGGUUUAUAUUUUCUUAUGCUGUCUCCCUGCCAUAACACUUUAAAGAUAAGCACCAGUCUAAAAACAAGAUUUGUAAAUACAAAAUUCUAGUGUCUGUGACCUCUUCAAAUUGCAAAGACUGGAUGGCCAUGGGAUGAUUUGUACUGAGUCUCCUCCUUUCCAUGAUGUAUUGUACCUAAUUGCCCUUAAAUUGUACUCACUAAGUUUAGUUAAGACAAAGAUGUUAGAACGUGACGUAUAGCUGCCGUACCAUGUAAAAGUCAACCAAUGUACUUUUAACACUGUGAUGUAAUCUGUAGUGAAAAACUGUCUAUAUAACCUACCACUUAUGCCAAUAAAAUCUGAGCAGUCCAGAGCCCUGAAAGAAGGGACAAAGAGGCUGUCUCCAUAUUUACAUUUUGCCGACGCUGUCCAUCUCUUAUCAGGAAAGUGUACACUCCCUGGCCACCAGAGCUGGCCUCCGGCACUCUUUCAAGUUUUAAAAAAAAUAAUUUUCCCCUGGAUUAAUAUUGUCAGAUUGUGACCCAAAGUGGCAUUUCACACAUCCCCUCUUUGGAAGGAUAGAAGCGAGAGAAAUCCAUGCCCUUGGGCACUGGGGUCUCUCCUCUGCUUCAGGUACAGGAGUGACCCUUGUUUUCACCUCCAUGUUUUUAUUUGUGUUUUUCUAGGUUUCUAUUUGAAGAAAGUCACCAAGGCCAAAACACAACAAUAAAUCGAAACAAAAAUAAAUACAAAAAAAUAAGUGAAUUCCGUUUACGUACAUGAUGAGAAGGAACUCAAAGAUUCUGAUGGUGUGUAGCCUCUGACAGUAAACUACUAGAGUUUAUAAAAACAGGUCUGGCGUAAAGUGGGUUCAAACCUUUUACUCAGCCAUGGAUUUAUUCAGAGAAAUUGUAAAUGCAGCCCUUUUCCAAGUCCCUAUUUACAAAACUAAAAACAAUUUACUACAGUGUUCAUUAACUCUUAGGGAAAAUAUUGAAAACAAAGUGAGUUUCUGAAUUAGAAAAUAACUUCAAACUUAAACCCAAAAAAAACAGAAUACCCAGAAGGUUAGCAUAAAGUGUUAACUGACAUUACCAAAUACAAGAAAUUUUUAUGUAACAAAGAAGGAGGUGUAACAAUUAAAAAAAAAAAAAAACUUUUAAUGUUUCAGCUGCUUUUGAUUCAGGACUCCAAAGAUUUUGUUUUGGGCAUUUCUAUAUAUUUAGUGUCAUAUUACACUAUCAAAAAUUUGUUUUUUUACCUCCAGUUACAUUACUGGAGGUAAAUUCUUUUCUUAAAUUCUUGUUUUAUAUAGUGUGACCAAUGGAAAGAUUCCUAUGAAAGAAAAAUAGUUUGGAAUUGAUUCUAUUUCUUCAGAAAUAGAACCACUAAAAUUUAUAUUUGCCCCCUAAAUUAAAGAUUAGUUCUAGUUCAAAGUCUCAAGAAGAGAAAGACUUCACAAUAACUUCUUUCACUUCAGCUAAAAGAAAAAAAAAAUAUGAAAUAUGUUUUAAAGGUAAAUUCCAGGAUAAUCUGUAAAUAUUCAAUACAUCUGAGAAGAAUGGCAAACACAGGAGAGGAGCAGACAGCUCUAUGGUGACUGUAUAAUCUUUGCCUCCUGGCAAACUGAAUCCAAGAGAAAACAAGAGUAAUCUGUCAUGACGACACGAAGUUUAGGACGGAAACGCAAGUCAGUCAGCCAUCAGAUAACACAUAAAUAAAAGACACCUGUUAUAGUUGAUCCGCUCGCUAUACAAUACAAAAGCAAUGAUAUAAUUUACCUAGGAAUGAAUGCAACAAUAGGUAUGUAAGAUUUUUAUGGAGAAAACUGUACAACGUCUCUUGCAGCAUUAAGGAAACAUAAAUCAAAUGAUGUUCAAAGCAACACUCAGUAUAAGGAAAGUGUUAGUCCCCCCCAAAUUGACCUAAAGGUUCAGAUCUUACUUUUCUUAUAUCGGGAAACACUCGCUCUCUCCUCCACCGAAGAAUGAUUUCACUGCUCAUCAUUAUUCCCAGUUUACAUACCUAUUGCUACAUUCAUCCCUAGGUAAGUUACAUUAUGGAUUUUGUAUCAUAUGGUAAGUGUACUUGGGUGUCUUUUAAAAAACUCAUGUCUUGAAAUAUUUGUGGUCAGUGUAUAGAUAAGGAAUUACUUUUAUAUGUUGCUCUGAAUAUAAAUCCUUUUACUUUUCUUUUUUUUUUUUUUUUUUUUUUUUUUNNNNNNNNNNNNNNNNNNNNNNNNNNNNNNNNNNNNNNNNNNNNNNNNNNNNNNNNNNNNNNNNNNNNNNNNNNNNNNNNNNNNNNNNNNNNNNNNNNNNNNNNNNNNNNNNNNNNNNNNNNNNNNNNNNNNNNNNNNNNNNNNNNNNNNNNNNNNNNNNNNNNNNNNNNNNNNNNNNNNNGGAUUCGUUAACCACUGUGCCACGACGGGAACUCCCCCUUUUACUUUUCUAAACAUCUUUGUGUAUUCAAUUCACUUUUAUACUAUGUAUCCUACACAUAUGUUUUUUUAAUAUACUUUCAAUUCUUGUAUCUCCAAUCCAAUAUUAUAUAGUGACUGUAGGCAACUUUGUUUUAUCAUUGAUAUUAAAGGAAAGUUAUUAGUGAUCUAACAUUAAAAGUAAAAUGUUCCCUGGAAAUUUACAGUAGGAAAUUCCCUACUGUCUCUGGUUGUUGAAUAGCUUAUAUUGUUUAUGAGGGAUUUUGUUUCAAUAACUCUUUCUACAGUCACCUGAGUUAUAUUGUUUUAACAUCUGGUUUUUAUUUACAUAUUAUCUGAGUAUUAACUGACUUGCACUUCUGUCAUAAACUUCAUGUCAUUAUGACAAAUUACUCUUGUUUUCUCUUGGAUUUCGUUUGCCAGUAGGCAAAGAUUUUAGAGUCACCAUAAAGCUGUCUGCUCCUCUCCUGUGUUUGGGUCUCUGCCAAAAUGUGGGUGACAGCAGCUGACUUCAUUUCUACAACAAACUCUGAAUAAACAAUCUGUGCUUUUUGUCAGGUCCUUUACUUCAUUUACUCCCACAAACUAUACAUUGUCCUUUAAAAAUAACUUUCUUUGAAACUCGCACUUUGCUACACAAUGUUUUAAUUAAAAUUCAGCUCUGUGCUUUUUGUUGUAAUUUCUUCUUUCACAUGGUAUGUAUAGUGUGUAUCAUAAAAUCAAAAUUUGUAGGCCUUUUAAUCCAGUUACUUUUUAGUAUUCAUCUCUUAGUUCAUUCCGUGUAACCAGGGAACUUAAUUUGCAUGGUAGUUGAUUCUUUUUAUUUCUGAAGGUAUUUUGUGAGCAAUAAUUGGUUUGUUUAGAGGAAAAUGUGCCUUCUCUGACACUGAGUGCAUUUAUUUAUGUGUAUCCAUCAAAUUAAAAUUUUUUUUGUCUUUUUGUCUAUUCUAGGGUCGCACCCAUGGCACAUGGAGGUUCCCAGGCUAGGGGUCUAGUGGGAGCUGUAGCUGCCGGCCUCCGCCACGGCCACAGCGACGCCGGAUCCGAGCUGGGUGUGCGACCUACACCACAGCUCAGGCAACGCUGGAUCCUUACCCCACUGAGGGAGGCCAGGGAAGCUCAUGGUUCCCGGUCAGAUUCGUUAACCACUCAGCCAUGACUGGAACGCCAUCAAAUUAAAUGUAUUACUUACCUUGUUCAAGUUUUCUCUUCCUUUACUAAUUUUUGGCCUUUUAGAAAUAAUUCGGAAAAUAUAAUUAAAAUCAAAAUCUCCUUUUCACUCGGAAAAACCCUCCAAGAAGUCCGAAGAGAAAGAAGACAGUUUUCAUUAUUGAAUAUUAUGUAUUAAAGUAAAUGUAAUAUGCAUCACCAGAA
rnacentral:lncRNA from 1 species